GACGAACGCUGGCGGCGUGCCUAAUACAUGCAAGUCGAGCGAUGAAGCUUGGUGCUUGCACCAAUUUGGAGAGCAGCGAACGGGUGAGUAACGCGUGGGUAAUCUGCCUUUGAGCGGGGGACAACAUUGGGAAACGAAUGCUAAUACCGCAUAACAACUUUAAACAUAAGUUUUAAGAUUGAAAGAUGCAUUUGCAUCACUCUAAGAUGAUCCCGCGUUGUCUUAGCUAGUUGGUGAGGUAAAGGCUCACCCAAGCGAUGAUACAUAGCCGACCUGAGAGGGUGGUCCGGCAAAACUGGAAUGGGAAACGGCCCCAACUUCUACGGGAGGCAGCAGUAGGGAAUCCUCGGGAAAGGAGGAAAGUCUGAACGAGCAAAGCCGAGGGAGUGAAGAAGGUUUUCGGAUCGUAAAAAUCUGUUUGUAGGGAAGAAAGUUAGUGGGAAGUGAAAGCGCAUAAAGUGACGGUAACUACUCAGAAAGGGACGGCUAACUACGUG
rnacentral:rRNA from 1 species